UGGGGAAUAUUGGACAAUGGGCGCAAGCCUGAUCCAGCAAUGCCGCGUGGGUGAAGAAGGCCUUCGGGUUGUAAAGCACUUUCGGACGGAACGAAAUCGCGCGAUCUAAUAAGCCGCGUGGAUGACGGUACCGUACGAAGAAGCACCGGCUCACUACGUGCCAGCAGCCGCGGUCAUACGGAGGAUCCAAGCGUUAUCCGGAAUUACUGGGCGUAAAGAGUUGCGUAGGUUGCAUUGUAAGUUGCUAGUGAAAGCGUUCGGCUCAACCGAAUAUACAUUAGCAAAACUACAAAGCUAGAGGACGAGAGAGGUUAUUGGAAUUCCUAGUGUAGGAGUGAAAUCCGUAGAUAUUAGGAGGAACACCGAUGGCGUAGGCAGAUAACUGGCUCGUUCCUGACACUAAGGCACGAAAGCGUGGGUAGCAAA
rnacentral:rRNA from 1 species